UGAGGAAUAUUGGUCAAUGGACGCAAGUCUGAACCAACCAUGCCGCGUGCAGGAUGAAGGUGCUAUGCAUUGUAAACUGCUUUUGUACGAGGGUAAAUGCAGGUACGUGUACCUGUUUGAAAGUAUCGUACGAAUAAGGGUCGGCUAACUCCGUGCCAGCAGCCGCGGUAAUACGGAGGACCCGAGCGUUAUCCGGAUUUAUUGGGUUUAAAGGGUGCGUAGGCGGAUUAGUAAGUUAGAGGUGAAAGCUCGAUGCUCAACAUCGAAAUUGCCUCUGAUACUGUUAGUCUAGAGUAUAGUUGCGGAAGGCGGAAUUCGUGGUGUAGCGGUGAAAUGCUUAGAUAUCACGAAGAACUCCGAUUGCGAAGGCAGCCUGCUAAGCUGCAACUGACAUUGAGGCUCGAAAGUGUGGGGUAUCAAACAGGAUUAGAUACC
rnacentral:rRNA from 1 species